UACGGAGGGUGCAAGCGUUGUCCGGAUUUAUUGGGUUUAAAGGGUGCGUAGGCGGGAGAUUAAGUCAGAGGUGAAAGAGUGCAGCUCAACUGUAGCAGUGCCUUUGAUACUGAUUUUCUUGAGUACAGAUGAGGCUGGCGGAAUGGGUGGUGUAGCGGUGAAAUGCAUAGAUAUCUGGAGGAACACCGGUGGCGAAGGCGGCAUCCUGGACCGACACUGACGCUGAGGAGCGAAAGCCAGGGGAGCAAACGGG
rnacentral:rRNA from 1 species